rnacentral:rRNA from 1 species
GUGGGGAAUAUUGCACAAUGGAGGAAACUCUGAUGCAGCGACGCCGCGUGAGGGAAGAAGGUCUUCGGAUUGUAAACCUCUGUCUUCAGGGACGAUAACGACGGUACCUGAGGAGGAAGCCACGGCUAACUACGUGCCAGCAGCCGCGGUAAAACGUAGGUGGCAAGCGUUGUCCGGAAUUACUGGGUGUAAAGGGAGUGCAGGCGGGACGGUAAGUUGGAAGUGAAACCCAUGGGCUUAACCCAUGAACUGCUUUCAAAACUACCGUUCUUGAGUGGUGCAGAGGUAGGCGGAAUUCCCGGUGUAGCGGUGGAAUGCGUAGAUAUCGGGAGGAACACCAGUGGCGAAGGCGGCCUACUGGGCACUAACUGACGCUGAGGCUCGAAAGCAUGGGUAGCAAACAGGAUUAGAAACCCUUGUAGUCC